AGUCCUUGUCCGAAGACCUUGAGGAGUACUAAAGCAUGGGGCCUCUCCUGGGAGGGGGAGAGAAAGAGACCCUGAACCGAUAAGAAACAUUUCAGCCCGUAGGAACGAGGUGUUCUAACCCUCUCCCUCCUUCCUCGCUGUGCUGUUGAUGUCUGUGAGGAAGAUAGCAGAUUAUGUAGCAAGUUUAUCCUCCGCUACCAUGGCGAGUAAUGACAGCCAAUCAGCCUUAGCUGAGACACUGAGGCUUUGUCGUGCUUGUUGCUGGUUACUUUAUGUAAUGUACCUAUUUUUUUAGGGGGUUGCUCUGGCCCCUGCAGGUGCAUGUUAUGCCAUGGCCUGAAACCAAGGAGGUGGGCUAAGUGCUGACGGAGCUCAGAAAACAGCUACUCUGUCUUUCUCAAACAUCUUCAAGGUCUCUGGGGAGGGAUAAAUGCCCACGAGAAGGUGUUAGCUUUGGGGAGAGAGCUCUGGAUCUGCACAGGGUCCACACAGCGGCCGAUUCGAAGGGGGGUAUCUGUACUCGCUGUUCCUUUUUCCUAUGCAUAUACCUCUUUGAGAUCUAGCUUUAAAGAGGCAUAGGGCAUGGGAAAAUGGGGCUGCAGAGGUAUUUCACCGACCGGACUACCCCUGGUCAACCAGCACAGCCCUAAGUUCUCCCUGUUCCCCCAUCUUGGACCUGAACCAGAGAACCGCAGAAAACAAAACCACAACAAGAAACCCUGAACUCAGUGGAGAGACUGUACCAUACCUCGUCACGAGAAACUGGGUUUUACAAUGUCCUGAAAUAUUCUAUUGUCAUUUCCUUUAUUUUGUAUUUUUGAUGGUAAAACUGUAGUAUAUUUCGUCGAUGUCCAAGUUGUUGUUUUAUUGCCUGCUUUCUAUAUUGAUGUGUUGUCCACCUAGUGGGUGGAAUUGUCUGGUGUUGUUCAGUAACAGUCUAUAAAAAAAAUGUUGGGAUGAAGAACCAA